AAGAUGGCGGCCGCGGGUGAGAGGGAGGCGUCUCUGUCGCUACACCGGUGCCGCUGACCCCACCUCCCGCGUCCUGGCGCCAGGAAUGGCGGCGGAGUAUGGCGCAGAGAGCACGGGAUCGGUCGGCGUCGGCCGGUGCCGGGGCCGGGUUCAGGCAUCGCAGCCGCCGUUGUGAGGGGCGGGCGGCCUGCAGCGUACUACAACAAAGAAGGUAGCCAGCCACCGGAAGUGGCUCCUGCCACACCAAAGAUGGCGAUUGCACCGGAAGAGACAUCAGCCACACCAAAGAUGGCGGAUACACCGGAAGUGGUCGGUGCCACACCAAAGAUGGCGGAUUACCGGAAGUGACUCCUGCCACACCAAAGAUGGCGGCCGAAUUAACGUAGUGCCGCCACACCAAAGAUGGCGAACGACCGGAAGUGGCUUCUGCCACACCAAAUAUGGCGGUCGGGAAAGGCGGAAAUAACGCGUGCCACUCCCAUGAUGGCCACUCGGCCAGGAUUCGAUCGACCUUCCCAAGAUGGCGGGAAAAAAAAGGGCGGGAAAACAAGGACCCCGGUCUGUCUAGUGAGCUGCCUGCCUGCGACCCCGAUGCCGACGGAGUGCACCUGGCGCCAUUUUCCGCGGCAUUUCCAGACGUGCAGACACGAUCUGUGGGCUCCGCAGCACCUCUACCCUGUCAGUGCUGCCGCCGUGUGGGCACAGCGCGGUACUGCAGCCGUUCCUCGAGGCCGCUGCUGGGUGGUGGGAGGCGCGCGCCGGCACCCUGCCGGAGCCGGGUUGACUUUCGCCACGCUCAAGAUGGCGGCCGCGGGUGAGAGGGAGGCGUCUCUGUCGCUACACCGGUGCCGCUGACCCCACCUCCCGCGUCCUGGCGGCGGAGUAUGGCGCAGAGAGCACGGGAUCGGUCGGCGUCGGCCGGUGCCGGGGCCGGGUUCAGGCAUCGCAGCCGCCGUUGUGAGGGGCGGGCGGCCUGCAGCGUACUACAACAAAGAAGGUAGCCAGCCACCGGAAGUGGCUCCUGCCACACCAAAGAUGGCUGUCGACCGGAAGUGACUUGGUGCCACACCAAAGAUGGCGGUUGCACCGGAAGAGACAUCCGCCACACCAAAGAUGGCGGGUGCACCGGAAGUGGUCAACGCCACACCAAAGAUGGCGGACAAACCGGAAGCGAUUUCUGCCACACCAAAGAUGGCGGCUGUACCGGAAGUGGCUUCUGCCACACCAAAUAUGGCGGUCGGGAAAGGCGGAAAUAACGCGUGCCGCUCCCAUGAUGGCCGCUCGGCCAGGAUUCGCUUGACCUUCUCAAGAUGGCGGCAAAAAAGGGCGGGAAAACAAGGACCCCGGUCUGUCUAGUGGGCUGCCUGCCUGCGACCCCGAUGCCGACGGAGUGCACCUGGCGCCAUUUUCCGCGGCAUUUCCAGACGUGCAGACACGAUCUGUGGGCUCCGCAGCACCUCUGCCCUGUCAGUGCUGCCGCCGUGUGGGCACAGCGCGGUACUGCAGCCAUUCCUCGAGCCUUUCCUUUGUCCAAACACUGUACAGGGAAAAGCCAAAACCGCACACCCCUUGUGAUACGAAUUUAAUUUGUGGGGAGGGUAAAGAAAAAUGAGAUGCAAGGGAGGGAAUUGCUUCUACAUAUAAAUAUUCUUAUCCCAAAAGAUAUUAUAAAGAGUAUCAGCUCUGUACCAGGACUUGAGUUAAAAAUUCUAUUUCUUUAAGAACCCGCAAGACCUUCAGAGGCUACAUUUUGUGUCAUGUAGAAUUCCUAGAGGCUGAGGCAGUAGGAAAUCUGUGAGCCGAGCCGAGCCGAGCCGGUCCGUGUUUACCCGAACCGAUCCGGGCUCCGCCCGGCCCAGCCGCAGCUCCCGUGCCCAUUGGUCAGCGCGAGUGCAAUCCCUGCCCAGCGAGCUCCUGCCCGGCCCCGCGCUCCCGUCCGUGCCCCUGCGAUGUCCGGGCCGCCCGCGGGACUCGGUGCCAGGAAAGCAGCGAGCUCGGUGUGUUUAACGUGAGGCGGGCCCGCUUUCCCCGAGCGGCGCCUCCGCCCGGCCCGCGCCGCCCUCAGGGAGCCGAGCGGGGCUUCGGGGAGCGCAGCGAGCGGCACCGAGCUCCUCCGAACCGAGCCGAGCUCAGCCGAACGCAGCGAGCGGCACCGAGCUCGGCUGAACGGAACCGAGCUCCUCCGAACGCAGCGAGGGGCACCGAGCUCGUCCGAACCGAGCCGAGCUCAGCCGAACCGAGCCGGGCGCCGGCUAAGCGACCCGACACUAGCUGUAACAGCCGAGUUCGGCCGAAGAGCCGACUGCAGCCGAGUGUAUCCGAGGUUACACAGCGCGCCGGCUCCGCCCAACGCAGCGAGCGGCUCCGAGUUCAGCCGAGCCGAGCCGAGUUCAGCCGAGCCGAGCCGAGUUCAGCCGAGCCGAGCGAUUCGAACAGCGGAAGCGAACCCGCGGGUGUCAGCGGCGCGCCCAGCACAGGAACCCCGGAGAAGCAAGCUGUAAUUCCUGGGGAACCCCUUGCUCUUGAAAGUGGAGCUGUCUCAUGAGAGAGGCUGCAAAGGGUGAGAUGUAACCUUAUAUCCUUCUUGGUUUAAAUCACCUCUGUGAAACCUUAAUAUGCUUCAAUAGAUUCUGCAGAACAGCUUGGAUGGCUUCAUGUCAUUGUAUCCUGUGUCAUGUAAGAUUUUCAGUCACUUUUCCCUCAAUUUCCGUGGUAAUUAGCAUUUUCUGUGUGUCAAGCGCAGCAUCAGGUUCCUGUUUAUGUCUGGGUUAUUUGGUAUGUUGUUUCCAGUUAGUUCUGAUUCACUUCUCCCGAUCUCCACUUCACUUUUAGUCAAGUUUCUUCUGCCUUUUGUGCAAGUGGACUUAAUGCUUUUGCUGUAACUUUGUGUUGAAUGUUACAUCAUAAAUCAGGUGAUGUUUUGCUCUACUAAACUCUUGUGACUGCGGGUAGGAAGAGCUGGGAGCAGAGUGUGAGGAGGUGGGCUGUGGAGGCUGAGGCUGCCCAGCAAGAGCCGAGUGUGGGCUCUGGCAGUGACCAGGGCUGGGAAGAGUUCCUGUGUGCACAGUGAGUGUUGGAGCGGGGCGAGAGCAGCAGGGACAGAAUGACACGAAGGGAGCUGGUGAUGUGAGGUCCGGUCUGAGCCCACUCGAGCUGUUUGUGCUCCACAUUCCCUGUGUAGCCCGGUGCCUUUCCCGGGUGUUUUGCAGGAGCACACGGUACUCGGAGCUCUGGAGACAGGCUGAGCAGGCGGAGGGGCUGGGGCUGCUCUGCGCGGGCAGCUCCGGCAGGAAUGCGGGUUCAGCCGCAGGACGAUGGCCACGGUGAGACUGGGAUCCUCUGCAGGACACGGUGGAGCAGCGCUGACCAGGCUGUGUCCAGCCAAGGAGCUCUUCUGAUGUCCCUUGAGAGGACACCCCAGGGGGUUUCUGAAGAAGGACUUCUGACCAGGCAGUCUGCACACUCCUGGUUUCAUCACAGCUCCUGUGUCCAGUGAAAACUGAGUGUACACACGUGAGAAAUGGCUGCUCUUCUCCAGGCAAGCACAUGAACUGCAGAACUUGAAGAAAAAAAUGCCCUGACCCAGCUGGAGUGAUUUGGGUCUGAGGAGGUGCCUGGGAGCUCCUUCUGUGUCCUGAUGGGGCCAUGGCUAUAGAAGGGGUAAAGGAUGGAGCAGAGGUGGGCAGUAGUGGUGGUGAUCAAUGGAAAAUGGAAAUUUGCAUCUGGAAACAGACAUCAUUUUCCUGGUGGGAGUCCUGGAAACAGAACUGGGAGUCUGUGAGAAAUGAGAAUACUGCAGCUGGACUGCUGAGAAUGGAGAGUCUGCAGGGAAUAUUGCCUGACUCCACCUGCUGAAAGGCUGAGGUGGGGCCAGGAUCUGUAAAUCCCCUGACUCUCCCCGAGGCUGAAGCUGUGGUUGCCCUCAAUGGCCUCGUGGUGGAAGAUGCUAAAGACUGAAAACUUUGGGAUUUUUCCCCUGAAUCCCGAGACUGUCUCUGCAGCUGUGCCCUGUAGAGCCCUUCAAAGAGUUCCUGGGUUUAGAAAGGUUUUUACAUCCUGCCGUAUUUCUCUGUAACUCAAUUAAAAAGAAUCAUACUGUA